UACAGCGCACGUGGGGAUGGGGCUGUUGUAGUCGCGGGGGCUCCAGGGACGCCUCAUGAAGCGAGGUCAGGCUGGGGACAAAGAAAAUACUUCCUCACGUGUAAAACUCAUGUGGCACAGUUUGUUGUGAAUGGAGGCUAGCUUUCCUUCAUAAUGUGUAUUGGGUUUAAUAUAUAUAAUUUGUUCGGAACAGAUGGAGCUUAAGUGUUUGGAUACUGAUAUAUGGAUAUUUUAGCUUAUGCAGUAGGCUCUGGCUCGCAGAUGCUCCUGACAUCCUAAAUAAGGGGUCUUAUUGCAAUUCUCAGUUAGCUAUCCCCCCCCAAAAGGUGGACCAGAAGUUCAGUGGUGUGGUGUCCUCUUUUGAUGAUGGAAAAUCCUGGAUACAUCAGUGGCUGCUGAAGAGGAAGUGGAAGAAAGCAUAGAAGAGAUGUUAAUAAGACUGGAUGAGUUCUACGGUAUGACUGAUAUGAUAUCUACAGUUUAGUCCAAGGGCUUCAAAGAUUUAUUGUGAUCAAUGUGUAGUAGUGCAUGCUGGGAGACCUUGGAAAUAUGCUGGGAGACCUUGGUCCAGUCACACUCUCUCAACCAAACGUACUUCACACAGGAGAUAUUGGGAGGAUUAAAUGGAGUAAAGGUUAGAAGCAACACAUACCAUCUCCUGGAUGAAGAAAUUCUACUUUUGAAGCCAAGAUCAUAGAUAUGAACAAUAUCGAUGUGAAUCUGGAUAAGCUAGAGAAAUGCACCUCAUCUCCACAGCACCCUUACAGCCUGCCAGAACUCUACAGAACUGAAGACUGUUUUCCAAUCAAGUACAUAGGUAGCAAAUAUCAAAUUUCUGCAUGCAGAGCUGUCCAUUGGUUACUAAGUAUGAAGGACCCUUUUCCCUUGAAGAAAGGAGGACAUAUUGUUGGGUGAUUCCCACUGACCAAUCAGGGAGGCAGGAUAACUUUUUCUCCAACUUAGUUGUGCCUGUGAGAAUCCCCCUGAAGUUCUGGGAUCUCUGCAAACAGUUGAAUUUGAAAUUCUAUAACUAUACAACACAACUGUAAGCAUGAAGAAUAUUGCAGACAAUGACAGCGGGAGGACCAAGAUGUCCUCCUUUCCCUUUAUGGUAAAUAACUACUGAUUUUUUCCCCUGAGGAGGACACCUUCUUGGGAUCUCCCAGAGCAGUGUCCUCGUUUUGGGGUGGGUCAUUAUCUUGAGAUUCUAAUAUGGUUUGUAACACUCUUCUUCCAAAUGUGGCUCUGGCCUACUGUAUGUAUUCAAUCUGUAAUGCCUAAUGAACAUUGACAAGGAAGGCCAGGUUGACAAGGAAGGCUGCCUUGCACAUCUCUUCAGCUGAUGGUUGUUUACUAAAGACAGCAUUUGUGGCCACACUCCUAAGUGAGUAUGCUGUUACGCCUUGAGGUGGUUGAAUGUCUAAUUCCUUGUAUGCUUCCACAAUGUAACUUUUGAUGCACCUGCUCAUUGCAGCUCUGGACAGUCUCGGACCCAUGUUAAGGGGAGAAACUGAAAUUAAGAAAUGUUCUGUUUUAUGUAUGUCUUCCAUUCUUAGAAUAAAGCACUUUAGUGCCCAUCUCACAUCCAGCUUGUGCCACAAACAUUCUUUAGGGUGUGAAGAGUUAGGGAAGAAGGAUGGUAGGUUGAUUUCCUGAUUCCUGUGGAAGGAUGAAUUAACUUUAGGCUUAAAGGAGCGAACUGUUCUUAGGGUAACCAUGUCUUUACAAAAUAUACAUGAAGCCUUUCAAGUUCAGAUACCCUCCUUGCUGAGGCUAUUGCCAUGAGAAGCAGAACCUUCAUCCUGAGCCAUUUCAGGAAAAUGUCCUGGACAGGCUCAAAUGGAAGCUUCAUGAGUGCAGAUAACACCAUGUUUAGCUUGUGAGAUAGAGAGGUAUCCUUCGUGGAGGCUCCUUUGAUAAAUCAAAUGAUAUGAGAAUGUCUGGAGAUGAACACACCAUCCAUAUUAGGUAAUACAGUAGUCACCACUGCAGUUUGUCUCCUAAGGCUUCGACACCCCUAUCUGCUGUUUGUAGGAACUCCAGGAUCACGUACAAUUCAGGAUGAAGGCCUGAUUUCUUCUUCCUACUGCACCAGCAGAGAAAGUCUUUCUACAUGGCAUUAUAUAUUCUGGAAGUAGAAGCUCUCUUGGAUGCCAAUAUGGUGCUGGUGACCUUUGAAUAUAAACCUGCUGUGUUCAAUUUCCACGCAGUUAAGUUCAGACAGUCUUGAUGAGGAUAGUAUAUUGGCCCCUGGCUGUACAUCUCCUAUGACAUAGGCAAUCUCAGGGGAUGUUCAGAUGAUUGCUGGAAAAGGUCCACCAACCAUAAUCUUCAAGGGCAAAAGGGAGCUAUUAGAAUGACCUCUACCUGCUGAGAGACCAUUUUCCUUCUUGGAUAGUGAUCCUGCUGAGUCAGUCUGCCUCUGUUGGCUAUCCCUCACGCACAUUCCCCUUUGAUGGAAAGAAGGCAUUUCUCUACCCAGGUGAGAAUCAGUAUUAGUUCCUUGUGAAAAGCAGAUGCCCCGGAUGCCCCUUGAUUGUUGAGGUGGGCUUUUGUCGUGAUUCUGUCUGUCCUCACUAGGAUGCGAGAUUGGUUCCGAUGCUGUUGAAAGGAAAUCAAAGACAGACAAAUGGCUCAAAGCUCCAGGACGUUGAUGGCAAGAAGAGAUUCUUUGGGGAUCAUUUCCCCUGCACCAGAACACUCCUCAGAGUGGUGCCCCACCCAGUUCAGCUGGCAUCUGUAGAGAUGUUGUAUUAGGUAUAACAUGCCUUGUCAUAGAUUGGGUGACUUGGCCCACCAUAGUAAAUUGUACUUGACCCUUGGUGAUUAGGGGACUGAAGUGUUUGCCCUCUGCAUGAUCUGAAAUUGAAACAGAGAAAGAUCUGCUGCAAGGGCCUUGAAUGCAUUAUUUCCCAAUGGAUCGCUUCCAGCACCAGCAGGCCCAUCGAAGCUGACAGAGACAUUAGGGGUGUGUGCGUGGCCUUCACUAUAGAGGAAACCCUGGUUCUAUUGAUCUUUUUUUUUAAUUUUAAUUUUAUUAAAAAGAUGAACCAGAAGAAAAAACUUGUUUUGUCUCAUGUCUAUCAGUACUCCCAAGUGUUGAGUUGGUUCCAGCAAACUCUUGUCCAAGUUGACUAGGAAGCAGAACCUCUGCAGUCAUUGUACUGUUCGCUGUGUGUCUAUUGCUGACUGAACCUGGGAGUCUGAACUGAUCAAAAUGUCACCCCAGUAGGGGUGCAGUCUGAUCCCCUCUUCUCUCAGUUUCACAAUAGAAUGGAUCAAUAUCUUUGAAAACACUGGGAGCCACUGAAAGACUGAGAAGGAGGGCUCUGAUAAUGGCAAUCCUCUGCACAAAAACAAAGGUACCUUUGAUAGUUUGGUAGGAUGUGGAGGUAAGUCUCUGUUAGGUCUAUGGACAUUAGAAGCUCCCAGUGUUGCAGGGACUCUGCAAUAGAUUGAAGUUUCCAUUCUGAAGUGUUUCAACUUUAUGAAUUUGUUGACAAACUUCAAAUCCAGAAUGGCCCUCCAAUCGCCAUCCUUUUCGGCACAGUAAAAAAAAAAAGAUGCCUUUUGCCUUCUGCAAAAGAGGUACAUUUUCUAUUGCUUGCAUCAUCAUCAGAUGUUGUAUUGCUUGUUUGAUUCUGAGUCAUUUGGAGAGAUUCUUGGGGGCUGGAGACAAUACAAAUUGGUCCAGUGGAGCUUGCCUGAACUCCAAGGCAUAACCGUUUGUCACUACCUCUAGAGAUACUGCUUGCCAUGGUGGGAGGCUCUUCAACAAAGGCUGCAGCUGACGCCUGUUUCAGGCUCCAAAAGCAAGCUGUCAUUGUCUCCUCCAAUCAUGGCUUGAGUGGCCAAGACACACUUCCUAGGCUAGAUCUCUACUCCUGUCUGAGAGGAAGAGGGGUGGGGGGAGCAAGACUAGCAAAGAAGAUCAGUAAUUUCAGAAGCCAAAAACAAGAAAGGACAAGCAGUUUAGAUAUAAGGAAUAAGAAGGAAUGUAGAAUUCGGUAAGAAAGGUUAGAAGAGAAAUCCAACAAAAUUAGUAGCAGGCCUACUCUGAGGUGCUUCUUCCUGAUGUGGUAGGAAUAGAACUGAAGGGCAACUCCCACAGGAACAAGGAAGCUAGAGAAAAAAUUAUCCUGCCUCUCUGAUUGAUCAGUGGGAAUUACCCAAGAUGUCCUCCUCCUCAAGAACGUUCAGUUUAACUCAAAUUUAUAUGUAUCAUAACAUGCAAGCAUAGGAGCCUAGAUGAUUUAAUAUGCAUUUCCUUUCUACAAAUGGGGAACAGAGUAUGAGGAAGAAUUAAAAAUUUGUUGACAAACUUCAAUUGUGCAGGUACUGACUCUUGGAUGUCACGUUACUAACUCUUCGCUUUUUGUUUCUGUUAGACACUUGAGACAUGUUUGCAAUAUUUGAGACGUCAAGGUCUGAUGAACCCUUAUUUACCUUAAAUACUGAACAAACUAUUUCUCACUUUAGACACAAUUGCUAAAAUUAUCUAUACAAAGGAUGCUUCAAGGUUUGUUUUUUUUUAAAUUGCAGUGCCAAAAUUCCAUUUUGAAAGCAGCUCUCACAAACCCUGUGUCGACAACUCAUCUACACACAGGAAUACACAGGAAGGGAAAAUGGGCAUAAUCGGUGACCCUCACUUCUGCACUAUUGCUGAGCUGUGCUAUGCACUGUAAAUACAGAGUAAAUGUCCUCAUGUACAUUCUGUCCCCAUCAUCAUCAGUGUUUGGAAAGCAGCUUCAUUGAUCGCAGAGAGGAAAUGUAUGCACAGACACUUCCACUGUUCCUCUGUGUGUUUGCACUGCACAGAUGACUCUGCAAUCAUGGUGAGAGAGGCACUAUUGUAUCUGCGGUCCUGUCUACAACAGUCAAAAUGGGCACAGGUUGUCUGCAUAGGGCUAAAGUGACAGCAUACUGGAAUCCUAAAGUACACAGAGUCUAUUUCACACGUAUUCAAAGUUCUUAUAUAAUGUAGUUUGAAUGGUACAAAUAAAAUUCUAGAAAAUG